AGAGUUUGAUCCUGGCUCAGGAUGAACGCUAGCGGCAGGCCUAACACAUGCAAGUCGAGGGGUAACGGGAGAAAGCUUGCUUUUUUGCUGACGACCGGCGCACGGGUGCGUAACGCGUAUACAAUCUACCUUUUGCUGAGGGAUAGCCCAGAGAAAUUUGGAUUAAUACCUCAUAGUAUGAUAACUUGGCAUCGAGAAAUCAUUAAAGGUUACGGCAAGAGAUGAGUAUGCGUUCUAUUAGCUAGAUGGUGUGGUAACGGCACACCAUGGCAACGAUAGAUAGGGGCCCUGAGAGGGGGAUCCCCCACACUGGUACUGAGACACGGACCAGACUCCUACGGGAGGCAGCAGUGAGGAAUAUUGGGCAAUGGAGGCAACUCUGACCCAGCCAUGCCGCGUGCAGGAAGACUGCCCUAUGGGUUGUAAACUGCUUUUAUACAGGAAGAAACACCGCUACGUGUAGCGGCUUGACGGUACUGUAAGAAUAAGGAUCGGCUAACUCCGUGCCAGCAGCCGCGGUAAUACGGAGGAUCCAAGCGUUAUCCGGAAUCAUUGGGUUUAAAGGGUCCGUAGGUGGAUAAUUAAGUCAGAGGUGAAAUCCUGCAGCUCAACUGUAGAAUUGCCUUUGAUACUGGUUAUCUUGAGUCAUUAUGAAGUGGUUAGAAUGUGUAGUGUAGCGGUGAAAUGCAUAGAUAUUACACAGAAUACCGAUUGCGAAGGCAGAUCACUAAUAAUGUACUGACACUGAUGGACGAAAGCGUGGGGAGCGAACAGGAUUAGAUACCCUGGUAGUCCACGCCGUAAACGAUGGUCACUAGCUGUUUGGACUUCGGUCUGAGUGGCUAAGCGAAAGUGAUAAGUGACCCACCUGGGGAGUACGUUCGCAAGAAUGAAACUCAAAGGAAUUGACGGGGGCCCGCACAAGCGGUGGAGCAUGUGGUUUAAUUCGAUGAUACGCGAGGAACCUUACCAGGGCUUAAAUGUAGAGUGACAGGUCUAGAGAUAGAUUUUUCUUCGGACACUUUACAAGGUGCUGCAUGGUUGUCGUCAGCUCGUGCCGUGAGGUGUCAGGUUAAGUCCUAUAACGAGCGCAACCCCUGUUGUUAGUUGCCAGCGAGUCAAGUCGGGAACUCUAACAAGACUGCCGGUGCAAACCGUGAGGAAGGUGGGGAUGACGUCAAAUCAUCACGGCCCUUACGUCCUGGGCUACACACGUGCUACAAUGGUAGGUACAGAGAGCAGCCACUGCGUGAGCAGGAGCGAAUCUAUAAAACCUAUCACAGUUCGGAUCGGAGUCUGCAACUCGACUCCGUGAAGCUGCAAUCGCUAGUAAUCGGAUAUCAGCCAUGAUCCGGUGAAUACG
rnacentral:rRNA from 1 species